GGGUGGAUUAGUGGCGAACGGGUGAGUAACACGUGAGCAACCUGCCCCUGACUCUGGGAUAAGCGCUGGAAACGGCGUCUAAUACUGGAUAUGUCCCGUCACCGCAUGGUGUGCGGGUGGAAAGAUUUUUCGGUUGGGGAUGGGCUCGCGGCCUAUCAGCUUGUUGGUGAGGUAAUGGCUCACCAAGGCGUCGACGGGUAGCCGGCCUGAGAGGGUGACCGGCCACACUGGGACUGAGACACGGCCCAGACUCCUACGGGAGGCAGCAGUGGGGAAUAUUGCACAAUGGGCGGAAGCCUGAUGCAGCAACGCCGCGUGAGGGAUGACGGCCUUCGGGUUGUAAACCUCUUUUAGCAGGGAAGAAGCGAGAGUGACGGUACCUGCAGAAAAAGCACCGGCUAACUACGUGCCAGCAGCCGCGGUAAUACGUAGGGUGCAAGCGUUAUCCGGAAUUAUUGGGCGUAAAGAGCUCGUAGGCGGUCUGUCGCGUCUGCUGUGAAAUCCCGAGGCUCAACCUCGGGCUUGCAGUGGGUACGGGCAGACUAGAGUGCGGUAGGGGAGAUUGGAAUUCCUGGUGUAGCGGUGGAAUGCGCAGAUAUCAGGAGGAACACCGAUGGCGAAGGCAGAUCUCUGGGCCGUAACUGACGCUGAGGAGCGAAAGGGUGGGGAGCAAACAGGCUUAGAUACCCUGGUAGUCCACCCCGUAAACGUUGGGAACUAGUUGUGGGGUCCUUUCCACGGAUUCCGUGACGCAGCUAACGCAUUAAGUUCCCCGCCUGGGGAGUACGGCCGCAAGGCUAAAACUCAAAGGAAUUGACGGGGACCCGCACAAGCGGC
rnacentral:rRNA from 1 species